GUAUCGGAACGUGCCCAGUAGCGGGGGAUAACUACGCGAAAGCGUGGCUAAUACCGCAUACGCCCUACGGGGGAAAGGGGGGGAUCUUAGGACCUCUCACUAUUGGAGCGGCCGAUAUCGGAUUAGCUAGUUGGUGGGAUACAGGCCUACGAAGGCGACAAUGCGUAUGUGGUUUGAGAGGACGACCAGCCACACUGGGACUGAGACACGGCCCAGACUCCUACGGGAGGCAGCAGUGGGGAAUUUUGGACAAUGGGGGAAACCCUGAUCCAGCCAUCCCGCGUGUGCGAUGAAGGCCUUCGGGUUGUAAAGCACUUUUGUCAGGGAAGAAAAGGUUUCGGAUAAUACCCGGAACUGAUGACGGUACCUGAAGAAUAAGCACCGGCUAACUACGUGCCAGCAGCCGCGGUAAUACGUAGGGUGCAAGCGUUAAUCGGAAUUACUGGGCGUAAAGCGUGCGCAGGCGGUUCGGAAAGAAAGAUGUGAAAUCCCAGGGCUCAACCUUGGAACUGCAUUUUUAACUACCGAACUAGAGUAUGUCAGAGGGGGGUGGAAUUCCACGUGUAGCAGUGAAAUGCGUACAUAUGUGGAGGAACACCGAUGGCGAAGGCAGCCCCCUGGGAUAAUACUGACGCUCAUGCACGAGAGCGUGCGGAGCAUACAGGAUUAGAUACCCUGGUAGUCCACGCGCUAGACGAUGUCAACUAGCUGUUGCGCCCUUCGGGGCUUAUUAGCGCAGCUAACGCGUGAAGUUGACCGCCUGGGGAGUACGGUCGCAGGAUUAAGACUCAAAGGAAUUGACGGGGACCCACCCAAGCGAUGGAUGAUGUGUAUUAAUUCGAUGCAACGCGAAGAAUCUUACCUACCCUUGACAUGUCUGGGAUCCUGAAGAGAUUUAGGAGUGCUCGCAAGAGAACCGAAACACAGGUGCUGCAUGGCUGUCGUCAGCU
rnacentral:rRNA from 1 species